rnacentral:rRNA from 1 species
AUGGGUGACUAUCUAGCAUGGUUCAGAGAGCACGUGUAUGUAGUCUGCGCUGGUGAAUGGAAGCCCCCGCCGCAAAAAAGAAGCGGCUCUUCCCACGGCUCUGUCACCAUUGACUCUAUUUAUUAUUAUGGUAAAUCAUUGUAUCCAGAUGUCAAUCUUAGAUCUUAUUUUAGUUCGAUACGUCCACCUACGAAACUCGCCCUUGGCUUUCGUCUCGGUAGGUGUAUUAUUCUACAUUUUCCCAAAAGGACAUUCAUUCAUUUCUUUCUUCCCGGGCGAUCACCACGACUAAAACGAAAACAAGACAAGAUAUCAAGACCCGUACUACAGGAAAAGGGCUGGUGGCCGACAUUUGGGAAAGUCGGGCCGAUCGGGUGUCUUCAUUCAAGCGAGGGUACAGAGGAAGAACGAAACAAAGAGAGAGGUCGGGGGGCAGGGAAAAGAGUCGAGUCGAUCGACCGGGAGAAGCAAAACGAAAUCCGGAUUUGGCCGAAAAAGAUGCAACGUUAUGGAUACCAUGACCGAUCACCAUCGAGAAAGAAGAAUUUUGAUAAAUCACUUGGGUGA